rnacentral:tRNA from 1 species
GGGAAUGUGGCUUAGUGGUAGAGUGCUUGCUUAGCAUGCAUGAAGCCCCCGGUUCGAUUCCUCAGUACCA